CUGGUCGGAUGGACAGUCUGGAAUCCAUGGCCGCCGAAUCCUCACCGCUGUCCCCUGAGUUGAGGAACAGGAACAAACGGAAGGAGACUACACAUUAUCAACGGGCAAGUCUUCGUCGCUACACAACACACACACAAUCUAGCUUGGCUUACCUGGAUUUCUGCGUACCGCCCGUCCUCGUUGCAUUCGGGAAUGAACGUCUCGCCAGUAGGCGCCGCCUUUUUUCCCAGUCCGCUAGCACCGGUUCCUGCUUGCUGCGUUUCCCCAUCCAGGAGGAUGACCGUCCGGCAGGUUGAAUAGGAGCUGAAAAACACCGAAGGAAGAACACCUGGGUUCCCCUCCUCCCCAAGAAGAGGGAAGAAAAAAAAAACUUUUUCUUCUUCUCACACAAGGCACCCGGCACCGCACCGGCAACAUCUACUACUAC